ACACACACCUUAUAUGAGAAAAGUUAGGCAUCCGCACCAAUGCGUAUCAUCUAAACCAACAAAACCUCCACAUAUUUGAACACAUUCACACACUUAUAAAUCAACCCAUAACCACCCCACAUAAUAUUCCACUCACCACUCUCUUUCCUUUUAUUCUAUGGGGCAUUUGGCUCAAUCGCAACCAUAAUAUUUUUAAUAAUCGUAAGGAUCCUCUCAAUCACUCUCAAAUAAUUCAUCACGCUGCGGAAUUUUACUUUCUUACACAUAAAUCUCCACCACGCAAGCCUUUAAUCCCUUUCUAUAUAAAACGGAAUCCUCCUGCACCAAACUUCUAUAAACUUAACACUGAUGGAGUGGUCUCCACAAAGCCAGGUGUCAAUGGCAUAUGAGGGGUUAUCCGCUCCUCCACUGGUGAAUGGCAACUAGGAUUCUUAGGUAACAUUGGGUUUGCAAACAGCAUCCAGACGGAACUCACUGCCUUACUCUAUGGAUUACGACUCUCUUUACAAUAUGGUUAUGAAGCUCUAGAAAUAAAUAUCGACGCCGAAGAGGUGGCUACUACGGUAGCUGGGUGAUCCCAUCCUUAGCCACACUUAUACGGAGGCCAACAUGGUUGCUGAUGCACUAGCUAAAUAUGGUUCACAACUACCCAUGGAGGCAGCACACAUCUUUUUGACAAGGCACCACCUUUUGUUAAAAAAGAAGUUAUGGAAGACCAAGCAGGAGUAGCAAGGUAGAGACUCAUUACCAAUAGUUUGUUGAACACAACCCACCCUUCCCCCAUGUACCCCAAAACCUCUUUUGCCCCUCCGCCCCUACAACUGCUUGUAGUAGUUCUACUUUUUCUAGUAUUUCUAGUUUUUUUUCUCGAUCCACAUGUGGAUC